GUGAGGAAUAUUGGUCAAUGGGCGCAAGCCUGAACCAGCCAUGCCGCGUGCAGGAAGACGGUCCUAUGGAUUGUAAACUGCUUUUAUUUGGGAAUAAACUCCGGUACGUGUACCGGCCUGAAGGUACCAAAUGAAUAAGCAACGGCUAACUCCGUGCCAGCAGCCGCGGUAAUACGGAGGGUGCAAGCGUUAUCGGGAAUCAUUGGGUUUAAAGGGUCCGCAGGCGGUCUUAUAAGUUAGUGGUGAAAGCCUACAGCUCAACUGUAGAACUGCCAUUGGUACUGUAGGACUUGAAUGCGAUCGAAGUGGGCGGAAUGUGACAUGUAGCGUUGAAAUGCUUAGAUAUGUCACAGAACACCGAUAGCGAAGGCAGCGCACUAGGUCUGGAUUGACGCUCAGGGACGAAAGCGUGGGGAGCAAACAGGAUUAGAAACCCCGGUAGUCC
rnacentral:rRNA from 1 species